GCGGCCACGCCGUUAAACCCCAACUUCUGAAUGUUGACCUCGGAUCAGGUAGGAAUACCCGCUGAACUUAAGCAUAUCAAUAAGCGGAGGAAAAGAAACCAACAGGGAUUGCCCUAGUAACGGCGAGUGAAGCGGCAACAGCUCAAAUUUGAAAUCUGGCUCUCGGGCCCGAGUUGUAAUUUGUAGAGGAUACUUUUGAUGCGGUGCCUUCCGAGUUCCCUGGAACGGGACGCCAUAGAGGGUGAGAGCCCCGUCUGGUUGGAUGCCAAAUCUCUGUAAAGUUCCUUCGACGAGUCGAGUAGUUUGGGAAUGCUGCUCUAAAUGGGAGGUAUAUGUCUUCUAAAGCUAAAUACCGGCCAGAGACCGAUAGCGCACAAGUAGAGUGAUCGAAAGAUGAAAAGCACUUUGAAAAGAGAGUUAAAAAGUACGUGAAAUUGUUGAAAGGGAAGCGUUUAUGACCAGACUUG
rnacentral:rRNA from 1 species